GGGUAUAUAGCUCAGCUGGCUAGAGCGCCACGUUGACAUCGUGGAGGUCUGUGGUUCAAGUCCACAUAUACCCA
rnacentral:tRNA from 1 species